CAAUAGCGUAUAUUAAAGUUGUUGCGGUUAAAAAGCUCGUAGUUGGAUUUCUGCUGAGAACGACCGGUCCGCCCUCUGGGUGUGUAUCUGGCUCUUUCUUGGCAUCUUCUUGGUGAACGUUGCUGCACUUGACUGUGUGGAGCGCUACCCAGGACUUUUACUUUGAGGAAAUUAGAGUGUUUCAAGCAGGCAUACGCCUUGAAUACAUUAGCAUGGAAUAAUAAGAUAGGACCUCGGUUCUAUUUUGUUGGUUUCUAGAGCUGAGGUAAUGAUUAAUAGGGAUAGUUGGGGGCAUUCGUAUUUAACUGUCAGAGGUGAAAUUCUUGGAUUUGUUAAAGACGGACGACUGCGAAAGCAUUUGCCAAGGAUGUUUUCAUUGA
rnacentral:rRNA from 1 species